AUGAUAACGUUACUCAGCGAGUGCCAUUUCUGGACGACCCACGACGAAAUCCGCAUCAAAGCCACCGACUUCGGUGCCUUCAAGUACUCGUCCAAAAGGGACCCGGACGUGCGGGCGACCGCGGCCCAGGGAAAGCGCGAGUAUGCCGAGAAACGCGAAGGUACCGUGAUUGUGUCCAAUCGGAGGCCUAAUCGGCUCAAGGAGUCGCUCAAGCGGCUCGAGGAGCUCCUGAAGGUCUCCAAGGUCGUCAGCUGCGACUGGCGAGACGCCAAUGUGGCCCAGCUCAUGUUCUCGAACGGGAUCCUGGUGCAUAUUUGUGUGAACGCGCUCAGCGGAGACGUGCAGAAGAUGGCCUUCGACAAGUAUUUCGUGGGAAAAUUGGCGGCAGAAACUGUGACGGACGCUGUUUUCACGCGCCAGCACAUCGUCUUGGCCUACAACAUCAACCAGAUUACGGUGGUGUUCCUUCAGAAGCCCAACAUGCGGCGGUCGGGACCGGAGAAGAUUGCCAAUAUGGACCCGAAGAUAUUCCACGUUUUGAUCCCAGGCCCUUCGGAACGCAAGCUAGCGAGGAACUUGCUGGUGAACAACAGUUUUGACUUGAUUGUGGUGUGGACCAAGUCGUCGCUGAAUGAGGUGUACCCUUGGCGGCCCACGAUACGGGACCAGGAUCGGGCGAAUGUUCAUGUUUUCAAGCUACGAUCUGCCAAAUUAGAGUCUGUCGCGUAUUGUUGGACCGAGAACGAUCCCAUUUGCAUGGAAUUCAUCCGGGCCAGUGACGGACAGGUGAUGACAGUGGAACAAAAAAUCUCAAGAAAGGGGGAAAUAACAGCGGAAAUAUGUUCAUAUGAGAUAGGUCAAGCCAAAAUGCAAAGAGUGGCCGUCACAUCAAUUCCCAUUGGCACUCAAAUCUGUUGUCAUGGAUUCAGUCCUGACCAGGAGAAAUUGGUGCUGGGAACCAUCGACAGAUAUGUCUGUAUACACGAUCUGGUGCAAAAAGUAACGAAGUUCGCACCGAAAACGGAUAUUAUUCCGACACGCUGUGCCUGGCAUCCAGACUCCGGUGUGUUCAUGAUAUCAAAUGACCGCUGUCAGUUCCAGUGCCUGGACCUGUCUCUCUCAUUUGUGGCGAAUCAAAUAAUCAGCGAAGAUGUGACACCAUCAAACCUCCAUGACCUUUCGCAUUAUUUUGCCAUACAGCCAACCCUACUGAAAACUUCAUUUAGUUGCAAGGCCGAUUUGAAUAAUUUCAACGAUGCCUACGCGCAAACCGAUUGCUUCCUGUUGAUGAUAUUCGAAAAUGGUCCCAUAGGGUGUAUGCGGUUUCUAAGUGGGACUGGUAUGAGUGGAGAUGUACACAAUUCGGGACUAACCCCGGAUGUACUGGUGAACAAAUAUUUAGCAAUUAGUCAAAUUGAGAAGGCUGUAAAUGUCGUACUGUCGUUGAAUUGGGAUACAUACGGUGCUAUGUGCUUGAUUGCGUUGCAUAAAAUUGCUAAUUUCGUUUUUACACGGAACGAUGCGAAGCGUAGUCGCAAUGAGUUAUUGAGAAAGGCAUUGCAAAGUUUCACGGAUGAUUUGAGCGAGGAGACAAAGGACGAAUUUGGCGACCAAGUGAUAGACUUAAAAAGGAGAUAUUUCUUCUUCCUUUUGAGGCACAAACUACAUAACGAGGCAUUUGAAAUGGCACGCAAUAUAGAAGAUUAUGACCUCUUUAUGGAUCUAUUCAAUGUCACAAAAGUCGAUGAGAAACUUUUCGCGUUAGCCACAGAAGCCUUUCAUCAAGCUGAAACUGUCCUGAAUCAGAACGAUAGCACGACUGGCACGUCCAAUCUUACCCCGGGCGAUACAAACUCUAUGUCAUCAUGUUCCCAUUCAUCCUGUUCCGAAUGUAUACCAGCACACCAACAAAAAAUUAAAGGCGAACAGAAAAAUAGCCGCAGUAACUGCAGCCAUUCGAUCAAAUCAACGGCUACCAUGUCCGGUACAACACAGACGCUAAUUGUAAAACGCUUUCAAAAGAAUCGUCAACAAAUGCAGCCGGAAAAUGAUAGCCUUGGCAACAGUCAUAUGAAAAACUACGUUCCACCGCUUCCAUAUUUUAAGUCUAAAGUAUUCAAUGCAGAAAAUAUUAAAAUUAACAUUCCAAAACCUGAACUAAGAACAGGAUCGGGAAUGGGGCUGACGGGAAUAGCUGAUAGCGUACAAGGCAACUAUCUUAAAGCACAGCAUCAUCACAAAACGCCUGCUCCACCGCCUCUGCCUGAUGUUAAGAAGAAGGGGCGACAUUACCGUGCCGGCAACGGAGGGGAAAAGCAACAUAUCUCAUCUCAAUCAUAUGCUGAUCCUGCUAGUUUAAAUAUGAACACUAGUAAUUUUCGUAACUCUAUCGCUUGUACAGGGCAGAGCCCAUUCACAUAUUCUAAUGGCGGUGGUGACAACUAUCAUAAUCUAGACCGAGGAAUGGCCUUCCCGCAACCACAGAACCAGAUGAGCGGCUUGUGGUCGAAAAUCCCGGAUCAAACGCUUGGUAUCCCCCUUGCAGCGACUUCUUCUACCACCGCUUCCUCUUAUGCAUCGAAACCUCCUCUAUCAUCUCUACUGUCUGCUUCCUCUUACGGUUUACUCCCGCGCGCUUCCACUAGUUUUUCAAAUAGCUACUUGCAUCUACCCAAUAAUAAUCCACAUCAGCAUCCGCAAUCCAUAAACAAUAAUAAUAGCUUCCAACUCAUGAAAUCUGAAAGUCUGCAUAAUUUACCGAAAUUCUAUCAACAUCCCUUAGUAUCGGGUACAAUACCAUCUGUACCGUCAGCAAUGCCCGCAGUCGCUACCUUGGCUCACUCUACAGAUGACCUAGCCUUGCGAGCGGCGAGAAAACCCGCUACUUCAAUACUUUCAAACAGUUCGAGUAAUGUUAGUGGUGCACAGGGAAAUGUGAAUAGUUCAGGAGCGACGAACGGCAAUAGCAAUAAUCCAACGCAACAAACCAAAAGGGAUCCGGGCGAGAAGAAUAAAGUCAAAUUCUCUGACACAGUGCAAGUGGCUGUUGUUCCGGUAGGAAAUCCCACGAAAAGAAAAACCUCUACCCACCAAACGCAAUGGUUUUCGACCACUUCUGACUGAUCCGCAAAAGGAAUUAGCCGAUAGCUUGCCGCUUUGUCAUCCCAAUGAUGACUACUUAAAAGACUUCAAUCCUGCAACUACAGAGACGACAGGCAAUUCCACGGAAAGUGCAAUAACGGAUCCAGAGCAGAAUAGCAGUAGGAAUGCGCCAACGAUCAAAGUCGUCCACUUCGGGGUUGUUUGAACCAACCAUGACAAUAAUGAUAUAAAAAUUUGUAAUAAAAUUGGUUUCUAAGGAAUAACUUAAGCACAGGAAUGACGAUAUUCCAAUUGAAACGUAUUCCGUCCAGUAUGUGACGAUUUUUGGUCACAUAGUGAAAGCUUUAAUUUAUUGUUGUAAUAUAGACUAACUAGGCGUAAGAUGAAAAUGUUUUUAUAUGUAUAUAUACGAAAAUUGAAAGAGCCAUAGAUGUAUUCUACGUUUUAACACAAAUUACUCUAUUUUUGUACUGGUUAGAAAAGAUUUUGAUAAAUAUACACAUUAUCUUUUAAUAA
rnacentral:misc_RNA from 1 species